GAUGAACGCUGUGUGGCGCGCCUAACACAUGCAAGUCGAACGGCACCCCUCUCCGGAGGGAAGCGAGUGGCGAACGGCUGAGUAACACGUGGAGAACCUGCCCCCUCCCCCGGGAUAGCCGCCCGAAAGGACGGGUAAUACCGGAUACCCCGGGGUGCCGCAUGGCACCCCGGCUAAAGCCCCGACGGGAGGGGAUGGCUCCGCGGCCCAUCAGGUAGACGGCGGGGUGACGGCCCACCGUGCCGACAACGGGUAGCCGGGUUGAGAGACCGACCGGCCAGAUUGGGACUGAGACACGGCCCAGACUCCUACGGGAGGCAGCAGUGGGGAAUCUUGCGCAAUGGGGGGAACCCUGACGCAGCGACGCCGCGUGCGGGACGGAGGCCUUCGGGUCGUAAACCGCUUUCAGCAGGGAAGAGUCAAGACUGUACCUGCAAAAGAAGCCCCGGCUAACUACGUGCCAGCAGCCGCGGUAAUACGUGGGGGGCGAGCGUUAUCCGGAUUCGUUGGGCGUAAAGCGCGCGUAGGCGGCCCGGCCGGCCGGGGGUUAAAGCGGGGGGCUCNNCCCCCCGAAACCCCCCGGAACCUCCGCGGGCUGGGGUCCGGUGGGGGUGGGUGGGAACACCCGGGUGUAGCGGUNGAUUGCGCUGUUUUCGGGGGGAACACCCGGUGGCGAAGGCGGCCCUCUGGGCCGAGACCGACGCUGAGGCGCGAAAGCUGGGGGAGCGAACAGGAUUAGAUACCCUGGUAGUCCCAGCCGUAAACGAUGGACGCUAGGUGUGGGGGGACGAUUCCCCCGUGCCGCAGCCAACGCAUUAAGCGUCCCGCCUGGGGAGUACGGCCGCAAGGCUAAAACUCAAAGGAAUUGACGGGGGCCCGCACAAGCAGCGGAGCAUGUGGCUUAAUUCGAAGCAACGCGAAGAACCUUACCAGGGCUUGACAUAUGGGUGAAGCGGGGGAGACCCCGUGGCCGAGAGGAGCCCAUACAGGUGGUGCAUGGCUGUCGUCAGCUCGUGUCGUGAGAUGUUGGGUUAAGUCCCGCAACGAGCGCAACCCCCGCCGCGUGUUGCCAUCGGGUGAUGCCGGGAACCCACGCGGGACCGCCGCCGUCAAGGCGGAGGAGGGCGGGGACGACGUCAAGUCAUCAUGCCCCUUAUGCCCUGGGCUGCACACGUGCUACAAUGGCCGGUACAGAGGGAUGCCACCCCGCGAGGGGGAGCGGAUCCCGGAAAGCCGGCCCCAGUUCGGAUUGGGGGCUGCAACCCGCCCCCAUGAAGUCGGAGUUGCUAGUAAUCGCGGAUCAGCAUGCCGCGGUGAAUGCGUUCCCGGGCCUUGCAC
rnacentral:rRNA from 1 species